UGAGAAUCUGAAGGAAGCUCG
rnacentral:misc_RNA from 1 species